rnacentral:rRNA from 1 species
CCGCGUAACGCGGCCUGGGGGCAUCCCAAGGCCGCCAAAGGGAGCAAUCCCGGCCACGGAUGGGCAUGCGGCGCAUUAGCUAGUCGGCGGGGUAGCGGCCCACCGAGGCGACGAUGCGUAGGGGUUCCGAGAGGAAGGCCCCCCACACUGGUACUGGGACACGGACCAGACUCCUACGGGAGGCAGCAGUGAGGAAUAUUGGUCAAUGGGCGCGAGCCUGAACCAGCCAAGUCGCGUGAGGGAGGACGGCCCUACGGGUUGUAAACCUCUUUUGCCGGGGAGCAACGGGCGUCACGUGUGGCGCCACUGAGAGUACCCGGAGAAAAAGCAUCGGCUAACUCCGUGCCAGCAGCCGCGGUAAUACGGAGGAUGCGAGCGUUAUCCGGAUUUAUUGGGUUUAAAGGGUGCGUAGGCGGAUCGUUAAGUCAGUGGUCAAAUUGAGGGGCUCAACCCCUUCCCGCCAUUGAAACUGGCGAUCUUGAGUGGAAGAGAAGUAUGCGGAAUGCGUGGUGUAGCGGUGAAAUGCAUAGAUAUCACGCAGAACCCCGAUUGCGAAGGCAGCAUGCCGGCUUCCGACUGACGCUGAAGCACGAAAGCGUGGGGAUCGAACAGGAUUAGAUACCCUGGUAGUCCACGCGGUAAACGAUGA